rnacentral:rRNA from 1 species
GCGAACGGGUGAGUAAUACAUAAGUAACCUGCCCUAGACAGGGGGAUAACUAUUGGAAACGAUAGCUAAGACCGCAUAGGUACGGACACUGCAUGGUGACCGUAUUAAAAGUGCCUCAAAGCACUGGUAGAGGAUGGACUUAUGGCGCAUUAGCUGGUUGGCGGGGUAACGGCCCACCAAGGCGACGAUGCGUAGCCGACCUGAGAGGGUGACCGGCCACACUGGGACUGAGACACGGCCCAGACUCCUACGGGAGGCAGCAGUAGGGAAUUUUCGGCAAUGGGGGAAACCCUGACCGAGCAACGCCGCGUGAAGGAAGAAGGUUUUCGGAUUGUAAACUUCUGUUAUAAAGGAAGAACGGCGGCUACAGGAAAUGGUAGCCGAGUGACGGUACUUUAUUAGAAAGCCACGGCUAACUACGUGCCAGCAGCCGCGGUAAUACGUAGGUGGCAAGCGUUAUCCGGAAUUAUUGGGCGUAAAGAGGGAGCAGGCGGCAGCAAGGGUCUGUGGUGAAAGCCUGAAGCUUAACUUCAGUAAGCCAUAGAAACCAGGCAGCUAGAGUGCAGGAGAGGAUCGUGGAAUUCCAUGUGUAGCGGUGAAAUGCGUAGAUAUAUGGAGGAACACCAGUGGCGAAGGCGACGAUCUGGCCUGCAACUGACGCUCAGUCCCGAAAGCGUGGGGAGCAAAUAGGAUUAGAUACCCUAGUAGUCCACGCCGUAAACGAUGAGUACUAAGUGUUGGAUGUCAAAGUUCAGUGCUGCAGUUAACGCAAUAAGUACUCCGCCUGAGUAGUACGUUCG